CACAGGUUGAACUUGAUGCAAAUGUCGCAAAGGUUCAAGACACUACAGGGUUCAUCCUCAAUCAAAAGAAUUUGAUAGUCAUACGGAAACAGCAAAGGUUGGUUUUCAAAAAGAUUCUGCACGAGAAGAAUCAACAGUCAGAACUUCACCAGAGUUGUUGAUUGGCAAACAGCCACAGAUUGCGGCCGACCCACAACAUGCUGGUCAAGAAUACAAAGGGUCUCUUCCUCUGCCGGGGCAAUCAGCAAUGCAUUCACCAACUAGCAGCAUCGCUACCACUCCCCUUACUGCAGAAGCAGUAAUUUCAUCUUCACCUCAAGCAGAGGAGUUGGUUGAUUUUCAUGGUCUCUUUAUGAUUAAGGAGACACGGGCUCGCUUACUCAAAGAAGCAUUUGUCAAUUAUCCUCAUUUAUGGGAAUGGAAACUCUCACAGAGGACUC